rnacentral:ncRNA from 2 species
AAAAAAAGCAGGCUCCGAUUUAGCCUUCCUAAGGCCGUGAUGGCUAUGGAAGCUAAACGCAGGCUGUUGUAGUGGCCAUAGGGUAACGGGGAAACCCGGUUGCCUCCCAACCUUGGAAAGGAGUUGCUGAGCAUAGGCA